rnacentral:misc_RNA from 1 species
UCCGGUUUAACACCGGCAGUCUCCAUAGAGUGCCCAACUAAAUGAUGGCAACUAGGGAUAAGGGUUGCGCUCGUUAAGGGACUUAACCCGACAUCUCACGAUACGAGCUGACGACAGCCAUGCAGCACCUGUCUCGCUGUCCCCGAAGGGAAAGCCGUACUUCUACGGAUGUCAGCGGAUGUCAAAUCUAGGUAAGGUUCUUCGCGUUGCAUCGAAUUAAACCACAUGCUCCACCGCUUGUGCGGGCCCCCGUCAAUUCCUUUGAGUUUUAACCUUGCGGCCGUACUUCCCAGGCGGGGUACUUAAUGCGUUAGCUACGACACUGGAGGGGUCAAUUCCUCCAACAUCUAGUACCCAUCGUUUACGGCGUGGACUAC